GGAAGGGUGCCGGAGUGGCCUAUCGGCCAGGUCUCGAAAACCUUGGGGGCUGCAAAGCCCACGUGAGUUCGAAUCUCACCCCUUCCG
rnacentral:tRNA from 1 species